rnacentral:rRNA from 1 species
AUUGAACGCUGGCGGCAGGCUUAACACAUGCAAGUCGAGCGGAGAUGAGGUGCUUGCACCUUAUCUUAGCGGCGGACGGGUGAGUAAUGCUUAGGAAUCUGCCUAUUAGUGGGGGACAACAUUCCGAAAGGAAUGCUAAUACCGCAUACGUCCUACGGGAGACAGAAGGGGAUCUACGGACCUUGCGCUAAUAGAUGAGCCUAAGUCGGUUUAGCUAGUUGGUGGGGUAAAGGCCUACCAAGGCGACGAUCUGUAGCGGGUCUGAGAGGAUGAUCCGCCACACUGGGACUGAGACACGGCCCAGACUCCUACGGGAGGCAGCAGUGGGGAAUAUUGGACAAUGGGGGGAACCCUGAUCCAGCCAUGCCGCGUGUGUGAAGAAGGCCUUAUGGUUGUAAAGCACUUUAAGCGAGGAGGAGGCUACUGAGACUAAUACUCUUGGAUAGUGGACGUUACUCGCAGAAUAAGCACCGGCUAACUCUGUGCCAGCAGCCGCUGUAACAC